rnacentral:rRNA from 1 species
GAUCAUGGCUCAGGAUGAACGCUAGCGGCAGGCUUAACACAUGCAAGUCGAGGGGCAGCGUGAGGGUUAGCAAUAACCCUUGACGGCGACCGGCGCAAGGGUGCGUAACGCGUGAGCAACUUGCCCUUAUCAGGGGGAUAACCGGUGGAAACGCCGACUAAUACCCCAUGGUAUUCAAAUUCCGCAUGUUAUUUGAAUUAAAGAUUUAUCGGUAACGGAUGGGGAUGCGUGACAUUAGAUAGUAGGCGGGGUAACGGCCCACCUAGUCUACGAUGUCUAGGGGUUCUGAGAGGAAGGUCCCCCACACUGGAACUGAGACACGGUCCAGACUCCUACGGGAGGCAGCAGUGAGGAAUAUUGGUCAAUGGUCGGAAGACUGAACCAGCCAAGUAGCGUGAAGGAUGAAGGUUCUAUGGAUUGUAAACUUCUUUUAUACGGGAAUAAAACACCUUACGUGUAGGGUCUUGUAUGUACCGUAUGAAUAAGCAUCGGCUAACUCCGUG